rnacentral:rRNA from 1 species
UACGUAGGGGGCAAGCGUUGUCCGGAUUUAUUGGGCGUAAAGCGCUCGCAGGUGGUUCGUUGCGUCGUGCGUGAAAGACCCCGGCUCAACUGGGGGGUGUCGUGCGAUACGGGCGAACUGGAGGCCAGUAGGGGGAUGCGGAAUUCCGGGUGUAGUGGUGGAAUGCGUAGAGAUCCGGAGGAACACCAGCGGCGAAGGCGGCAUCCUGGACUGGUCCUGACACUCAUGAGCGAAAGCGUGGGGAGCGAUCCGG